GGGAGAGACGUUGCUCAACCCACGACCCCUCAUAAACGGUGACACUCACCCUGCGAUCUCUCCAAGUCCCGACCUACGACGACUUGCGACUUGCGAGGAAUCUCACCGAGAGUCCGACCUGUGUAGGAAUCUCUCCAAGUCCCGACCUAAGUUCUGAAGCAACGUUUUCUCUCAAGUCCCGACCUGCAAGGAAUCUCACCAACCUCUCAAGUCCCAACCUACGAGGAAUCUCACCGACUUGCGAGGAAUCUCACCGUUGGCAACUUGUGACUUACGAGGAAUCUCAUCGACUUGUGAGGAAUCUCACCGAUCUCUCAAGUCCCGACCUACGACCUGCGACUUGCGAGGAAUCUCACCGAGAGUCCGCCGUUGGUGGCUGGAUUCAUUGUAGCAAAGAUGGCCGCAGUUGAGGGUACUAACUCAAAAAUUGCUACAUGGCCUUCUGAGAUAUCUCACUACUUUUUGGAGCGUCUUCUACACCAACAACAAAGGGGAAAGAAUGGAGAUAACGGGCUGAAAAAAGAAAAAUUUCAAGUAGUCUCAACUGAAUUAUAUGAAAGAUUUCAUUUGACAUAUGACUGGGGACAGUGCCGCAAUCACUACAGGAUAUGGAAAGCAAGGCUUAAGUCGCUUGUUGACUUGCAAAAAAAUAGUGGAAUGGGUUGGAAUGACCAUGAGAAGUGGUUUGAUGCACCACAACACAUGUGGAAUGAAUUCAAGGUUAAUUAAAUGUUUGAUGCAUUAUUUCUAGAUUGUUAGAAAGGUAUUCUAAAGGUAACGUUAACAGUUUACUAUUCUGACAAUACAAGAGUUAAUUAUAUUUUUUUUUUUUAGAAAAAAGAGCAAAGAUUUUGGAAAGAGCAUAGAGUGCUUCCUAUUCACCUACAACUUGUUGAAUGGCUGCGUAAUGAAAUUGCCACUGGGGCUGGAUCUUCACACCCAUCCGAUGCAGUCAAUGAGGCCUAGCCUUACAAUCCAGUGCCAAUUGAUGAAGAAAUUAGCUUGGACAAUUAUGAUGCUAUUGAUGAUAAUGUUGGUGAAAGUGCCCAUUAUACUCCCAAUGCAAGUAGCAGUCCUUCCCGUGGUAGGCCUAGUUCAGGGGUAACAAGUAAAGAGAAGAAGAAGAAAGGAGGUGCAGAAAAGGUUAGUAGUCCUUUGAAGGUGAUAGCCAAUGCAAUUGUGGAGAUGGCCAAGCAAGACCCCCGGAAGGAAUUUGCAAAAAACUUAUGUAUUGAGAUUGAUGCACUUCCAGGAGUUGAGUUUGAUAAAAAAUUGUGUGCUAAACAAUUCUUCAUGCAAUAUAAGGAAUUGGCUCCCAUCUUCUUGAAUGCCAAUGAGGCAGAUAAGCCUAAGGUGUUUGAACACUACAUGAAGAAUAUCGAAGAUGGUGGUCAAGAUUGAGGAGGUGUUGCUUUAUUUAUUUAUGAUUAGUGUGUUGUUUCAAAACAUGAGUAGAUAUUAACUAGACAAUUUAUGACAAAAAUUUGAAAUGCUUAUUUUGGUGAUGUAAUAUUGACUCAAUUUUUGAACUCUCUCAUUUAAACUGGUCAGCUGGUGAUUGGUAAGCUUUUGUAAGAAGGUAUUAUGUGGAUAUGGCACAUAAUGCUUUGAAUUCCAUUGGCCUCUUUCUUUUUAUGGUGGAUAUGGCAGAAUUCCUUUCUUAACUGUUAGAUUCAGAUCAAGCAUUUUUUUUAUGGUGGAUAUGGUUAAUUAAUAUCAUUUCAUUAGGGCCAUUAAAUGAAACUUUUUCCAGGGAUAUUUUCUUGGCAACCCUGUAACAGAUCCAGUUCUUGAUAUGCUCAGCCAAUCGAUGGGUCUAUUAUAUCAGUUGAACUUUAUGGAGGGCUUUUUGCUCAGUUGUAUAUCUAUCAUUGAUGUGCAGUUCAUGUUUCAAGUAAUGGUACUUGGCUGGUUUUAAGAGAGGGAGAAUUUGCACCCAAAACUUGUUGGAACUGUGCUUGCAUGCUCUAUACUUCUGUGGGGAAAUAGGUGGCUGGUUGAACAUGAGAAGUUGUCCUUAGGAUUGACAGAUGGAGUUUUGCAAGGCUUGCUGCCUCAGCUGAAGUGUUGGGCAGUAGAUCCUUUUGGGUGUUCUUGUAUGGCUGUUUUGACUACUGAGGAAGCCAUGGUUGUGAAGAUGAACAAAUUGGGCUGGGAAGAUUUUCAAGAGCACAUGAGCAGGCUUGGGAGAUUGAUAAAAACUUUGGGUCUGGUCCUUCGACAGUGCAGGUAAUGGGAAAACACUUGCCAAGUGCUAGAUGAUGGUUUGAUCCCAAGCUACUUCUGUUGGGGGUUCUUAUCAGUCAUACACUCAUGCUCAUCUGUAUCCCACCACCAUGGCAGAGAGUUGUUGCUGUAUGUCACCUGUUUUGCUAGAUGUGACCUCUUCCAUCCUCCUCAUCUUCUUUCUUUUCAGGUAUUUGGUUUUUCCUUUGUUUCCAUUGUCAAAAGCUUCUUUUAGGAGGACUUAUUACAAGUCGAGAGAGAUGAGCUUUUGUGCCAUGGCACUUUGGUUUUUAUCGAUGGAAAUCUUAUUUCAUCUAAUUGUUGAAGUUUUUCAGUGCUAACAAAAGUGAAGUUUAUUGGAAA